UGGGAAGGACGGCUUGUCCCCUGGAUGCC
rnacentral:piRNA from 1 species